UACGUAGGUGGCAAGCGUUGUCCGGAUUUACUGGGCGUAAAGGGUUUGUAGGCGGUUUGUUAAGUCUGGUGUGAAAUCUCCCGGCUCAACCGGGAGGGGUCAUCGGAUACUGGCAGACUAGAGACGGGUAGAGGAAAGCAGAAUUCCCGGUGUAGCGGUGAAAUGCGUAGAUAUCGGGAGGAAUACCAGUGGCGAAGGCGGCUUUCUGGGCCUGUUCUGACGCUGAGGAGCGAAAGCGUGGGGAGCAAACCGG
rnacentral:rRNA from 1 species